rnacentral:tRNA from 1 species
GGCAUGAUGUUUCGGAAACGCCGGACCUUGAACGUCCAUCC